ACAACACCAGAGACUCAGACCAGGACCAAGAUGGCGGCGCUCUCGUCUUUGACAGUCUCCGUUCCUUCAUAUUUUUCCUUAAUUACGUGACUUUCGGAGCUCCUGGAAGACUGCCAUGAUACCAGAAGAAGCAUGGCACUCCCCGGCACCUGUGGGAAGGGAAAUGAGGGGCCUUUAAGAAACAUGAUCCCCACAGCUACUGGGUUAACAAACUUCUACUGCAGCUACAACCUCUCCACACUCGGCCAAACCUCAAGCUGACCCCAAAACCUCUCUCCUCAGCUCAUGGCACACACAAGGAUUUUCUCAUCAUCUGUCAAGCUGCUGCUGUCACCAACGAUCUUGUCCAAGGUCACAACAGCGACCGUGCAGUAACCGGGACUUUGCCAAGACUACCAGGAGAGACAUUUGAAGGGAGGGGGAGUAUGAGUGUCCUAAGAGCAAGGCAGCUGGACAGAGACUCCUUCCUGACAUCCCCCCACAGGACGGACUCUCAUACAUCAGACCUGUGGGGGGAAGUGUCAGGAGGGAAUAAUGUCACGCAUAUCUUGCUCUUAGGAUGAACACACUCCUCCUCCUUCUCUGCUGGUAUCUUGGCAGAGCUUGACUGGUGGACUGCAUCAGUGGUCUGACCUUCCCAAAGAUCAAGGGCAUUGAGGGAUAGAGCAUCAUCACUCCCUAAGUAUAUAUGGCAGAAAUGUUUAAUGAGCAGGAGGUAUAUAUGUAUAAGGAGGUGCAACAAAAGAGUAUAUAGAGGUUUAGAUUUAUUUUGUAACAUAGCUUUACAGGUUCACUAUUUUUUUCACGCAUACAGCAGAAUUUAAAAAAAAAAAAAAAAAAUCCAAAAUAAUUUCUAAGUUGGGGAGAGUCUCUGCUCUUACACUUGCCCUAUUAGAUAACUCGCCAUCAUAAGCUUGUCACCAGGACGGGUCGCUGUGUGUGUCCUGUUUCAGCGUGCCCCUCCCUGCUGCACUCUCCCAGCCUCCACUUUGGCAGCAGGAGACCAGCAGCACAAAGGAAGGGCUCAAACACACUGAUGCUUUCUUGUGGUAGUUUGUUAUAGGUGAAGCUGGAUGUUGUAGUCUUCCUCGUCUGCCCCUCAUGAGAAGCUGGGGGUCCGCCUCUCCAUCUGGGUCUUGUGAAGCUGGUAGUCAUCUGCCCCUCGUCUUCCUCCAUCCCAUCGUGCCUGCAAAGGACAUAGUGUGAAUUCAAGGCUCUUUGUGGGGUGUCUGUUGUGCAUGCUUGAGGUAUUCUGUAUUAAUAUUUAUAUCUUAACAAAAUCUUCAUUAUUCUGUGUCCCCAUCAUAUCUCAAGACUACCUCAAUGGUGUCACCCCUUUGAUAAGUUUACUAUUGUUCCCCCUUACAAAAUUUUACAUAUUUUAAUUAUGAAUAGCAGGGUCUAGUUGCUCCUGUUGCAGUGUGCCACUCCCUUGACUCUCCCGGCCUCCACGUUGGCAGCAGGAGCACGCACACACUGAUGUCUUGUGGUAGUGUGCUGCAGGGGGAAGGUGGUCGUCAUCUGCUUCUCAUGCUGGUUGUCAUCUCCCUCCAUCCUGUCGUGCCUGCAAAGGAAGUCUCAUGUGAUUUCAAGGCUCCUAUUGUGUGUGUGUGUGUUUUGUGCAUGCAUGAAAUAUUUUGUCAUAAUAUUUUAACCUGUCCGCUGCGAUUGCCCUGGAUUUUGCCUUCACUGGUUGCUUGGUGAGGUCUUCUUGUGGGAAAUCCACAGUCAAGGGGUUAAGUAAUCCCCUCCUCACAAAAUCUUUAUUCUGCAUCCCCAUUGUAUCCUCAAACCACUUCAGUGAAUUAUGCUUUACAAUAACUGGUUCUUUAUUUCAGUGCAAGAUAAUUUUGGAAGAAGUACCAAAAUAAAAUGAAUACAUAGAA